ACCGGCAUCACACUGGUAAAUGACGUUUUUUGCAUUCACAGACACCCAAAAAAACACGAGCUUAACCGUCUCAGAUA
rnacentral:tRNA from 1 species